rnacentral:rRNA from 1 species
GUCUACGGCCAUACCACCCUGAACAAGCCUAAUCUCGUCUGAUCUCGGAAGCUAAGCGGGGUUGGGCCUGGUUAGUACUUGGAUGGGAGACCACCUAGGAAGACCAGGUGCUGUAGGCG